AUUGAACGCUGGCGGCAGGCCUAACACAUGCAAGUCGAACGGUAACAGGAAGCAGCUUGCUGCUUUGCUGACGAGUGGCGGACGGGUGAGUAAUGUCUGGGAAACUGCCUGAUGGAGGGGGAUAACUACUGGAAACGGUAGCUAAUACCGCAUAACGUCGCAAGACCAAAGAGGGGGACCUUAGGGCCUCUUGCCAUCGGAUGUGCCCAGAUGGGAUUAGCUAGUAGGUGGGGUAACGGCUCACCUAGGCGACGAUCCCUAGCUGGUCUGAGAGGAUGACCAGCCACACUGGAACUGAGACACGGUCCAGACUCCUACGGGAGGCAGCAGUGGGGAAUAUUGCACAAUGGGCGCAAGCCUGAUGCAGCCAUGCCGCGUGUAUGAAGAAGGCCUUCAGGUUGUAAAGUACUUUCAGCGGGGAGGAAGGGAGUAAAGUUAAUACCUUUGCUCAUUGACGUUACCCGCAGAAGAAGCACCGGCUAACUCCGUG
rnacentral:rRNA from 1 species